UUAUCUGAACCUUCGGGGAACGAUAACGGCGUCGAGCGGCGGACGGGUGAGUAAUGCCUAGGAAAUUGCCCUGAUGUGGGGGAUAACCAUUGGAAACGAUGGCUAAUACCGCAUGAUGCCUACGGGCCAAAGAGGGGGACCUUCGGGCCUCUCGCGUCAGGAUAUGCCUAGGUGGGAUUAGCUAGUUGGUGAGGUAAGGGCUCACCAAGGCGACGAUCCCUAGCUGGUCUGAGAGGAUGAUCAGCCACACUGGAACUGAGACACGGUCCAGACUCCUACGGGAGGCAGCAGUGGGGAAUAUUGCACAAUGGGCGCAAGCCUGAUGCAGCCAUGCCGCGUGUAUGAAGAAGGCCUUCGGGUUGUAAAGUACUUUCAGUCGUGAGGAAGGUGGUGUCGUUAAUAGCUGCAUUAUUUGACGUUAGCGACAGAAGAAGCACCGGCUAACUCCGUGCCAGCAGCCGCGGUAAUACGGAGGGUGCGAGCGUUAAUCGGAAUUACUGGGCGUAAAGCGCAUGCACGUGGUUUGUUAAGUCAGAUGUG
rnacentral:rRNA from 1 species